CAACCUACCUAUCAGAGGGGAAUAACCCGGCGAAAGUCGGACUAAUACCGCAUAAAACAGGGGCACCGCAUGGUGAUAUUUGUUAAAGAAAUUCGCUGAUAGAUGGGCAUGCGUUCCAUUAGGUAGUUGGUGAGGUAACGGCUCACCAAGCCGACGAUGGAUAGGGGAACUGAGAGGUUGGUCCCCCACACUGGUACUGAGACACGGACCAGACUCCUACGGGAGGCAGCAGUGAGGAAUAUUGGUCAAUGGGCGAGAGCCUGAACCAGCCAAGUCGCGUGAAGGAAGAAGGAUCUAUGGUUCGUAAACUUCUUUUGCAGGGGAAUAAAGUGCGGGACGUGUCCUGUUUUGUAUGUACCCUGAGAAUAAGGAUCGGCUAACUCCGUGCCAGCAGCCGCGGUAAUACGGAGGAUCCGAGCGUUAUCCGGAUUUAUUGGGUUUAGAGGGUGCGUAGGUGGUUUGAUAAGUCAGCGGUGAAAGUUUGCAGCUUAACUGUAAAAAUGCCGUUGGAACUGUCGGACUUGAGUGUAAAUGAGGUAGGCGGAAUGCGUGGUGUAGCGGUGAAAUGCAUAGAUAUCACGAAGAACUCCGAUUG
rnacentral:rRNA from 1 species